rnacentral:misc_RNA from 1 species
GAUGAAGAACGUAGCGAAAUGCGAUAAGUAAUGUGAAUUGCAGAAUUCAGUGAAUCAUCGAAUCUUUGAACGCACCUUGCGCCCUUUGGCCAUUCCGAAGGGCAUGCCUGUUUGAGUAUCAUGAACACCUCAACUCUUUAUGGUUUUCCAUGAUGAGCUUGGACUCUGGGGGUUUUGCUGGCUCACAGUCGGCUCCUCUAAAAUGAAUCAGCUUACCAGUGUUUGGUGGGUAUCAUGGGUGUGAUAACUAUCGACGCUUGUGGUUUUUCCACCAGGUAACCUUCAGCAGUGGAGGUUCGCUGGAGCUCAUAGAUGUCUCUCCUCAGUGAGGACAGCCCUUUGAAUGUUUGAUCUCAAAUCAGGUAGGACUACCCGCUGAACUUAAGCAUAUCAAUAAGCGGAGGA